GUACCUACGGGAGGCAGCAGUGGGGGAUAUUGCACAAUGGGGGGAACCCUGAUGCAGCGACGCCGCGUGGGUGAAGAAGCGCCUCGGCGCGUAAAGCCCUGUCAGCAGGGAAGAAAAUGACGGUACCUGACUAAGAAGCCCCGGCUAACUACGUGCCAGCAGCCGCGGUAAUACGUAGGGGGCAAGCGUUAUCCGGAUUUACUGGGUGUAAAGGGAGCGUAGACGGCGCUGCAAGUCCGGAGUGAAAGCCCAUGGCUUAACCAUGGUACUGCUCUGGAAACUGUGGAGCUUGAGUGCGGGAGGGG
rnacentral:rRNA from 1 species